CCGCAGGGAGAAGCCCUGAGUGGUACUGGGAAACUCUGGGAGACGGUCGUCCUGUUAUUAUCUAUCUCCAUGGCAACACAGGGACCAGGGCCUUACAUUACAGAGUGGAACUGGUAAAGGUUUUGAGUGCUGCAGGAUACCAUGUCGUCUCUUUUGACUACAGAGGUUUUGGAGACUCCACUGGCGAGCCAAGUGAAGCUGGACUAACCACUGACGCCCUCUACGUGUACCACUGGGUAAAGAAACACAGCAGGGGAAGUCCAAUCUAUCUGUGGGGACACUCGCUCGGCUCUGGGGUGGCAACAAAUACUGCAGUGAAAAUACAAGAGCAAGG